GAUGAACGCUGGCUACAGGCUUAACACAUGCAAGUCGAGGGGAAACGACGGGGAAGCUUGCUUCCCCGGGCGUCGACCGGCGCACGGGUGAGUAACGCGUAUCCAACCUGCCUCUGACUGAGGGAUAGCCCGUCGAAAGUCGGCCUAAUACCUCAUGGCAUCGUCUGCGGGCAUCCAACGACGAUUAAAGAUUUCAUCGGUCAGAGAUGGGGAUGCGUCUGAUUAGCUUGUUGGCGGGGUAACGGCCCACCAAGGCGACGAUCAGUAGGGGUUCUGAGAGGAAGGUCCCCCACAUUGGAACUGAGACACGGUCCAAACUCCUACGGGAGGCAGCAGUGAGGAAUAUUGGUCAAUGGGCGAGAGCCUGAACCAGCCAAGUAGCGUGCAGGAUGACGGCCCUAUGGGUUGUAAACUGCUUUUAUGCGGGGAUAAAGUGAGGGACGUGUCCUUCAUUGCAGGUACCGCAUGAAUAAGGACCGGCUAAUUCCGUG
rnacentral:rRNA from 1 species